rnacentral:rRNA from 1 species
AUGGACAAGCUUCCGAAGCGCCCGGCUAACUACGUUCCACUUAGCCCGGUCGGGUUCCUUCCGCGCGCCAGUGCAGUAUACGGCGACCGCACGUCGGUCGUCUACGGGCGUCUCAAGUUCACAUGGAGCCAGACGCACGAGCGCUGCCGCCGCCUCGCCGCCGCCCUCGUCUCCCUCGGCGUCCGCAAGAACAACGUGGUCUCCGUCCUCGCGCCCAACGUGCCGGCAACGUACGAGAUGCACUUCGCCGUGCCCAUGGCUGCGGCCGUGCUCAACGCCAUCAACACGCGCCUGGACGCCAAGGCGGUGGCUGUCAUCCUCAGGCACGCCCAGGCUAAGGUCUUGUUGGUCGACUACGAGUACGUGCGCCUCGCUCAUGACGCGCUCCAGAUCGUUGCCGAUGCCGGCGCCCCCGUCCCUCUGGUCGCCGUCAUCGACGAUAUCGAAAGGCCCACUGGCGUCCGGCUUGGCCUCUUCAAGCUCGAGUAUGAGGCGCUGGUCAGCAACGGCGACCCGGCGGCGGAGCUGCCCUUGCUCGCAGACGAGUGGGAUGCGGUCGCGCUCAACUACACCUCGGGCACCACGUCGGCACCGAAGGGCGUGGUGUACAGCCACCGUGGCGCGUACCUGAACACCAUGGGCCAGCUGCUGUCGUGGGGGGUGGGCAACGAGCCCGUGUACCUCUGGACGCUCCCCAUGUUCCACUGCAACGGGUGGGCACUCACGUGGGGAAUGGCGGCGCGCGGCGGCGUCAACGUCUGCAUUCGCCAGAACCGCGCCGCCGACGUCUACCGUGCCAUCUCCGACUACGGCGUCACCCACAUGUGCUGCGCGCCCGUGGUAUUCAAUAUCCUCCUGGAAGGCGAGGCCCGGCGGCUCGCCGCUCCGGUCCACGUCCUCACGGGCGGCGCCCCGCCGACGGCCGCCCUGCUGGACCGCGUCGAGCGGAUCGGUUUCAAGGUGACGCACUCCUAUGGACUCACGGAGGCCACAGGCCCCGCUAUGGCCUGCGAGUGGCGCCACCAGUGGGACCUCCUGCCGCUCCCGGAGCGCUCACGCCUCAAGGCCAGGCAGGGGGUGAGCGUCCUGUCUCUCGCCGAUGCCAGCGUCGUCGACAGCAACACCAUGGGUAGCGUGCCGCGGGAUGGCAAUUCAUUGGGUGAGAUCGUGCUCCGCGGCAGCAGCCUCAUGAAGGGGUACCUUGACAACCCGGAGGCUAAUGAGAAGGCCUUCAAGGGCGGGUGGUUCAUGACAGGCGACGUCGGCGUCGUGCACCCCGACGGGUACAUCGAGAUAAAGGACAGGUCAAAGGACGUGAUCAUCAGCGGCGGCGAGAACAUCUGCAGCAAGGAGCUGGAGGAGGUGCUGCUCCAGCACCCGGCUGUGGCCGACGCGGCGGUGGUUGCCAUGCCUCACCCGCACUGGGGCGAGACACCAUGCGCGUUCCUCGUGGCAAAAGACAAGGCUGCUGAGGUAUGCAAGGAUGAAGUGAUCGCCUUCUGCCGCGAGCGCAUGUCACGCUUCAUGGUUCCCAGGAAGGUGGUCGUCACUGACGCCCUUCCGAGGAACGCGCUGGGAAAGAUUGAGAAGGUGAAGCUACGGGAUGCGGCCCGGAAAUCGGCCGUGUCAAGGCUGUAG